UCAUGCAGAAAUACGCAUCGAUCUAAGGAUAAAGAAGGACUGCCACGGUCCAGGAACCUCUCUUUUGAUCACGUGAGAUGUCACUGCGGCUCGACGGACAGGUCCUGGAUCAGUUAUGCUUCGUAACUAUGCUAGGGAUAUGUUAGACUAUUCUGAUACGUCGGAACCAUGACAGAGGCCACGACUGUUAUAAUCCAAAUGAAAAAAAUAUUAUAUAAGAAAUCAUAUUUUAUUUUAAUGUUUAACUCUUGAUUGAUAUCAUUGGGUCACGAGAGAGCAUAAUAAUUUAAGACCAGAUUACUUCGUUUUAAAAUCUUUAAAUUAAUUUUAUUGCUAGCAUAAAGAACGUAAAAUAGAAAAUAAAAUUAAAUAACCCUAAAUAUUAAUAAUUUACAUUAAGAAAUAUAGGCUACAGAAUUGCGACAUUAUGCUUCUAAAGUAAUUAUCAGCAACUUUGAAGUUAAAAAAGUAAUUUAAAAGACAAGGUUACUUUAAAAAUAUACACUGGAACAUCAAUCGCUUUUUUAAGAGUAACCGAUAGAUAAUACUGAUAUCGAUAUAGAAUUGCAGAGAUUCGAUAAGAGGGGAUUUCUUGGAAAAGAGCGCUCUCCAACGAGAAAUCGAGCCGAUGUGACGUAAAUUGGUGCUGUUAUUCGAGGUAUCGUGAUCUAACAAAAUUUCUGAUAACCUAUACGUUAUCUAAAUACACAAUAAAAGAAUUUCCUAUCGUAAUUAAUUGUUUCCAGAAGUUAACGUCAUAUAUUAUAUUAAGUAGGUAAAGUUUAGCAAGAAUUUCCUGGAAGCAGAAAUUCAUUUGCAAGAAAGGAUUUUCGGGCGUCUAGAGAAUAUCAGAAAUUCCCUGGUAAUAUUUAUUGCGUCUGCUCUAGUUACAAUAUUCCUGUAGGACAUAAUUUAUUAUCAUCUUUUAUUUUUUUAGUCACAGUUCUUCGGCUGAAUUAACUCAGCUUGAGAGACAUUCUUUGGGAAUCGAUCUACAGACAAACAAUACAGAAGUCCCGUGAAUCUUCCUGCGCCACGAUGUUACACUUCAUUUCCUAAGCGAGUGUAGAAGCAUGCGCGACCGUAGCCGGUCUAUAUGACACUAACAUAUCACUACACGAAUGCAAUAAAUAAUUUGACACGCCUUGGACCUGCAAUUACUCCGGACUAUCGGAUAUUGUAUCCUAAAAUACCCCGUUGGUAAUGAAUAUUGAAUUCGCAUGGAUUUCUUUUUUCGACGAGUCUCUACACAGCUGUGUAUCGAAAAAUCGGUCACAACUGCGACGACUUAACCUCACCCGUACACUAACUUCUAUCAUUUCUUUAACAACUUUCUAUAUUCUUGUAAAAAUAUUGCAAAAUUACUUCAAGAUUCCUAUUUUUGGACAUUUAUAUUUUCGUAAUAGAAAAUUCUAAGAAAUUUUAAUAUUUAAGUUUCCAAUUCUUAUUUAUAUGCUUUCAUAAUGUUUUGUAAUAAAUGAAUGAUAUUAAAUAAAAAUUUUGCGUUCAUUCAUGUUGUACAUUUUGGCUUGAGAUAUUUUUCAAAAAAAUAUAAAAAUAAGUAUCUAGAUACCUGAUUUUCUUUUAAGUACGAUAAUUCGACUUUCAAAUUAGUAACUUAAAAUUUCUAAUCAACUAAAAAUAUCUGAUGUUUCAAACUAAUAAAUUGUAAUAAAACAAAUGUACAUACAAUACAUAACCUCUAUUUGUCAUUGUGAUAUAGAAUCUUAAGUUAACUACGUCACAACUCAACUCUCUAAGGUUAGUGGACAAUUUCAAAAUGGCGUAAAAGUGCGAAAUUUUAGGACAGAAAUACGCUCUUGUCAGAACAAAAAAGUUGUUGAAUACCACUUGUGCUCUCUGUCGAGAGCAGAUAAACGUUAUACGCUACUGGAUUAUGCGGUAUUGAUCGGUAUCGAAGCCCUUAGUAAUAAUAAGCGGCGUCCUUGAUUUCGCUUUGUUAGACUUCCAUAGAAUAGGUUAUGUACGAAUCCGGAUGCGAUAGUGGAGCCACAGAAACGUGGAAGACAAGAUGGUUCUUGUCCUCCUUAUGUUUGUAUCACUGAUAUAAAAAUUGACUGAAUUGAAUUUGAGGUUAUAUCGAGAAACGAGAUAAAAUUGAACGAUAAGGGAAAUUGAUAGAAUUCUUCUCCCAUCUUGGCGUAAUCGUUUCAACGAACUGAGGAAACCUUGAAAACAUCUGAGUCAGGUAAUUACACGGCUUCUUCCGAGUAUAUUAGAAAUUCUGCCCGUCGGCCGAUUAUAAUCACUAACAUUUCGCUUAUUGAUCAUUCAUUGACAUCGCGUUUAAAAUACCCUUGCCAAUAAGCAAAUGAGGGAACGAAGGUCGGCUAUAUAUACGGUGCCCCGUAAAACUGGGUCGCACUAUAUCACUGAAACAAUUAUGUCACCGAUCCCUACAUUUACCUAAUGGACUCCCAAUCUUGUUUUCAAUAAAAUUAUAUCCACUUUAUAUCUAAUAAUUUAGAUACAAUAUACAGAAGGUUAAUAACUUUUAUAAACUAAAAUUAUCUGAAAUUAUUACGUAAAAUUAUAUUCAUGUUAUUUUACCUCAUAAUUGAAAUCAGGAAUUCGAAAAGGUACUUCUUUGCAAAAACAUGUGGUUAUCUAAUAAUGUUAAGAAUGUGAAUAUAAUGAAGAUGUAUGUAUGUUCAACAAGAUUGAUAAUGAAUAAAGGAGCUUAAAGAAGAUAAACAAAAAAAGACUGACUUUAUUAAAAUACUGAUAAGUGGAUUCAAUCUAGAAUUAAAUAUUUUCGUUAUUUAUUUAAAGGCCCUAGUAACUAUCAUAUUAAGGUUAGGGACAGCAAGACUUUUUCAAAAUAUUUAUGGAUGGAUUUGUGCUCUGCUGGAAUUUAUCGCUUCAACGUGAAAUUAUAUAUUUUCGUUAUUUAUUUAGGAAACCCCCGGUAGCAGUCCUAUUGAGGUUAGGGACAACGUGAAAUAUGAGUAACACAUCUAGAUAACAGAAUAUAAUAUAUAGUAUAGUGUAACACCUACUGGUCUGAAACACACAUGGGAAAAGGUGGAAGUUUCAGUAGUACGAACCUAGCUAUUGCGUGGCAGUAGUUCGUCAAGCGCCUUCGCGCGAUUUAAGCGACCGCUAUGGCGCGUUUCACAAGCCACUCACGUGCAAGCUCGAUUAACUUUUCAUCUAGGAUACACAGUCAACCUACGACGAACCUAACUGAAUAUCGGACAUUCCUGAUCGAAUAGUACUAGUUCACAUGUAAUUACGAAAGUAUUCGAAUAAUGUAGGAACUCAGGAACCUUUUAUGAAUAUACUAUGUAUGUUAUGGACUAUGUAGGAACCAUUUUGAAAUUUCAUUAGCACUGCAACAAGGCACGAGUAUAAUUAUGUCGGGCAAAUCUAAAACCAAUCUGAAAAUGUACAUACACAUCGUAUGAAAUGUUUUUUAAAAUGAAAUGUACACAUCAUAACGUUCGUGUGUAAUAUGUACAUAUUAGGUUAGGUUCAUAUAAAACAUUUAAUCAAAGCAAUUUCCACAUAAUUCAAUGCACUUUCUCAACGCUUAUUUAGUUUCAUUAUUCCAGAUUUAUAAAAAUUACCAGUUCUAGAAUUCAACGAUUCUUAGUAUGGAGCCGUUAUAGUUCCUUUUAAAAUAAUUUAUGCGUUAAAAGAUCGUCUAGAUGGAACGGAAAAAAUCAUUAGCCCCCCCCCCCUGAAAUGCUAAAUUUGUUUCCAGAAAUUUUCAUCUUUCUUUUUUCAAAUUGAAAUUUAUCUAACAAAGACACAUGAAUAUUUUCAUUGCUCAUUUAUACCAAAUUUCAUCCUUAAUGCAAAACUUAGAUGACACAGAAUCGCCAAAUUGAAACUUCGAAGAAUCCACAUUUCACAUGUGCCAAUUUAAUGGAAGCUAUAAGAUAUUUAACGUGAAGAUAUUUAUACAAUCAAUUAUCUAUUGUAUUAAUAAAUUUCAAUAUUCCGGUAGAAUUAUCUGUAGCAGUUAUCACGCGUUUAAGGUGGCUAUUUAUGCUGUAUAACAAUUUUCUACCACAUAUAUAUCGAAACUUUUAUUUACUCUUUCAGAUUUUUCCACAUUUAACCAAUAUGAUUCGUAUAUUAAAUUUAUAUGAAAUUCGCAAUAAAUAUUUUGUAACUUUUAUAACUAUAUGCACUGCCAAAUCAUUUCCAAAUCUGACCAAAGUAAUCAAUAAAGUCGUAUUUUACUGCAGCGUUAAUGAAACUUCAAAAUGUUGUAUAUAAAGCGUAU